rnacentral:sRNA from 1 species
AUGUACCGCUCCUACACACGGGUUCCUCCGCCUCGUCCGCACCCACCUGACGACCGCUCGCUACGUUUUGGUAGCC